rnacentral:rRNA from 1 species
UACGUAGGGCGCAAGCGUUGUCCGGAAUUACUGGGCGUAAAGAGCUCGUAGGUGGCUUGUCGCGUCUGCCGUGAAAGCCCAUGGCUUAACUGUGGGUCUGCGGUGGAUACGGGCAGGCUGGAGGCUGGUAGGGGCAAGCGGAAUUCCAGGUGUAGCGGUGAAAUGCGUAGAUAUCUGGAGGAACACCGGUGGCGAAGGCGGCGUUCUGGACUGCAACUGACACUGAUGAACGAAGGCCAGGGGAGCAAACGGG